rfam:Triticum aestivum genome assembly, contig: Triticum_aestivum_CS42_TGACv1_scaffold_035531_1BL
CUAGUACUUCCUCCGUUCGGAAUUACUUGUCACAAAAAUGGAUGUAUCUACAACUAAAAUACAUCUAGAUACAUUCAUUUCUUGGACGAGUAAUUCCGAACGGAGGGAGUAGUAC